GCGGCAGGCCUAACACAUGCAAGUCGAGCGGCAGCGGGAGGAAGCUUGCUUCCUCGCCGGCGAGCGGCGGACGGGUGAGUAAUGUCUGGGAAACUGCCCGAUGGAGGGGGAUAACUACUGGAAACGGUAGCUAAUACCGCAUAACGUCUACGGACCAAAGUGGGGGACCUUCGGGCCUCACACCAUCGGAUGUGCCCAGAUGGGAUUAGCUGGUAGGUGGGGUAAUGGCUCACCUAGGCGACGAUCCCUAGCUGGUCUGAGAGGAUGACCAGCCACACUGGAACUGAGACACGGUCCAGACUCCUACGGGAGGCAGCAGUGGGGAAUAUUGCACAAUGGGCGCAAGCCUGAUGCAGCCAUGCCGCGUGUGUGAAGAAGGCCUUCGGGUUGUAAAGCACUUUCAGCGAGGAGGAAGGCGUUGUAGUUAAUAACUGCAGCGAUUGACGUUACUCGCAGAAGAAGCACCGGCUAACUCCGUGCCAGCAGCCGCGGUAAUACGGAGGGUGCAAGCGUUAAUCGGAAUUACUGGGCGUAAAGCGCACGCAGGCGGUCUGUUAAGUCAGAUGUGAAAUCCCCGGGCUUAACCUGGGAACUGCAUUUGAAACUGGCAGGCUAGAGUCUCGUAGAGGGGGGUAGAAUUCCAGGUGUAGCCGGUGAAAUGCGUAGAGAUCUGGAGCAAUACCGGUGGCGAAGGCGGCCCCCUGGACGAAGCUGACGCUCAGGUGCGAAAGCGUGGGGACCAACAAGGAU
rnacentral:rRNA from 1 species